rnacentral:rRNA from 1 species
CCACUAUGCUUAGCCCUAAACACAAAUAAUUAUAAGAACAAAAUUAUUCGCCAGAGUACUACCGGCACAGCCCGAAACUCAAAGGACUUGGCGGUGCUUUAUACCCUUCU